AAUCACUCCCGAUCAAGUGGAAGGUUUCAAAGAAAGAAAAAAAAAGUGGAAAAAAAGUUGAAAGGUUUCAAAGAAAGAAACUCUUGAUCAAAGAGAGGGUUUGGAGAAAUGAAGAAUUGCGCAGUUUGAUUGCACGCAAAAAUGCAUGUUCAACAAAUGAAAUCAUCAUCAUCAUCGACUCCCUCAGUACAUGUAUACAUGAGAUGAUGCUGCGCCUACAAAACCAUUAAUUG